rnacentral:rRNA from 1 species
ACUCCUACGGGAGGCAGCAGUGGGGAAUAUUGCACAAUGGGGGGAAACCCUGAUGCAGCCAUGCCGCGUGUGUGAAGAAGGCCUUCGGGUUGUAAAGCACUUUCAGUAGGGAGGAAGGUAGUGUAGUUAACACCUGCACUAUUUGACGUUACCUACAGAAGAAGCACCGGCUAACUCCGUGCCAGCAGCCGCGGUAAUACGGAGGGUGCGAGCGUUAAUCGGAAUUACUGGGCGUAAAGCGCAUGCAGGCGGCCUGUUAAAGUCAGAUGUGAAAGCCCGGGGCUUAACCUCGGAAAUUGCAUUUGAAAACUGGCAAGGCUAGAGUCUUGUAGAGGGGGGUAGAAUUUCAGGUGUAGCGGUGAAAUGCGUAGAGAUCU